CCAUGAAUCUGGUCUUGGGACACUGUCAGGUGGGCAGUUUGACUGGGGCGGUCGCCUCCCAAAAGGUAACGGAGGCGCUCAAAGGUUCUCUCAGUACGGUCGGAAAUCGUACGUAGAGUGUAAAGGCAAAAGAGAGCUUGAUUGCAAGACAUACAGGUCGAGCAAGGAUGAAAAUCGGACUUAGUGAUCCGGUGGUUCUGCGUGGAAGGGCCAUCGCUCAACGGAUAAAAGCUACCCUGGGGAUAACAGGCUUAUCUCCCCCAAGAGUCCACAUCGACGGGGAGGUUUGGCACCUCGAUGUCGGCUCAUCACAUCCUGGGGCUGUAGUAGGUCCCAAGGGUUGGGCUGUUCGCCCAUUAAAGUGGUACGCGAGCUGGGUUCAGAACGUCGUGAGACAGUUCGGUCCCUAUCCGUCGCAGGCGUAGGAAAUUUGAGAAGACCUGUCCUUAGUACGAGAGGACCGGGAUGGACGUACCUCUGGUGUACCAGUUGUUCUGCCAAGGGCAUGGCUGGGUAGCUAUGUACGGAAUGGAUAAGCGCUGAAAGCAUCUAAGCGCGAAGCCAACUUCAAGAUAAGAUUUCCCACCGCAAGGGUAAGACCCCAGAAAGACUAUCUGGUUGAUAGGUCGAAGGUGUAAGUGCAGCAAUGUAUUUAGCUUAUCGAUACUAAUAGGUCGAGGACUUGACCAA
rnacentral:rRNA from 1 species